rnacentral:lncRNA from 1 species
CAGCCACACAGAGUCAUGGACGUACUGUCAAUGCCCAGUGGGUGAACUCUUCUGCACAAACUCCCGGCUCACAAGUGUUGGCUUGAGACUCUGUGGUGGAGAUUGUAAACCACCGCCCUCUGUUUUCGCCCAAAGCCUGAGGUUCUACAGUCUUCGUCUUUGAAACGAAGUAAUGAUACCUACAUCCAAGAGAAGAAGAAGCGUGAUUAUUAGUGCAAGGAUGUUUGGAACUCUGAAGGUAUCUGUUUGCCGCUCACUCACAUCUCUAGCCCCAGUCCCGUUGCUUGGGUUUCUUUAGUUGAGAUACUAGGGUUGGGAAAGGGAAGCUGUGGGGACCUGGAAGGACAGCAUGGGGUGAGCAAACCACAGUGAUACAGAUGUAUAUUAUGUCCUAGCAGAACUCGUUAUUCUAUCCGCUAAAAUAAUUAUUUAAAAGGGGCAAAUAUCUAUCCAUUGCUCCCCACUAGGUUCUGAGCCACUCUCGAUGUUGUAGGACACUUAAUGUUUGGUUCUUACACGUGCUAAUUCACUUCCUGUCUGAAAAAGAAAAAACAUACUUAAAACAGAUACUUAUCCUGAACAAUUGACUAUGAACAAUAUUGGGCUUUAAUCGUUGCUUUGCCGACAGGAUAAAUUUUUUUUUGUUUUU